rnacentral:rRNA from 1 species
GUCGAGCGGACCGACGGGAGCUUGCUCCCUUAGGUCAGCGGCGGACGGGUGAGUAACACGUGGGUAACCUGCCUGUAAGACUGGGAUAACUCCGGGAAACCGGGGCUAAUACCGGAUGCUUGAUUGAACCGCAUGGUUCAAUCAUAAAAGGUGGCUUUUAGCUACCACUUGCAGAUGGACCCGCGGCGCAUUAGCUAGUUGGUGAGGUAACGGCUCACCAAGGCGACGAUGCGUAGCCGACCUGAGAGGGUGAUCGGCCACACUGGGACUGAGACACGGCCCAGACUCCUACGGGAGGCAGCAGUAGGGAAUCUUCCGCAAUGGACGAAAGUCUGACGGAGCAACGCCGCGUGAGUGAUGAAGGUUUUCGGAUCGUAAAACUCUGUUGUUAGGGAAGAACAAGUACCGUUCGAAUAGGGCGGCACCUUGACGGUACCUAACCAGAAAGCCACGGCUAACUACGUGCCAGCAGCCGCGGUAAUACGUAGGUGGCAAGCGUUGUCCGGAAUUAUUGGGCGUAAAGCGCGCGCAGGCGGUUUCUUAAGUCUGAUGUGAAAGCCCCCGGCUCAACCGGGGAGGGUCAUUGGAAACUGGGGAACUUGAGUGCAGAAGAGGAGAGUGGAAUUCCACGUGUAGCGGUGAAAUGCGUAGAGAUGUGGAGGAACACCAGUGGCGAAGGCGACUCUCUGGUCUGUAACUGACGCUGAGGCGCGAAAGCGUGGGGAGCGAACAGGAUUAGAUACCCUGGUAGUCCACGCCGUAAACGAUGAGUGCUAAGUGUUAGAGGGUUUCCGCCCUUUAGUGCUGCAGCAAACGCAUUAAGCACUCCGCCUGGGGAGUACGGUCGCAAGACUGAAACUCAAAGGAAUUGACGGGGGCCCGCACAAGCGGUGGAGCAUGUGGUUUAAUUCGAAGCAACGCGAAGAACCUUACCAGGUCUUGACAUCCUCUGACAACCCU